GGGCGGUUAGCUCAAUCAGUUGAGCGUAGCACUAACAACGCUAAGAUCGCUAAGAUCGCGGGUUCGACUCCCGUUCAGUCUA
rnacentral:tRNA from 1 species